GGGUCCGUAGCUCAGUGGUCAGAGCAGUCGGCUCAUAACCGAUUGGUCGCAGGUUCAAGUCCUGCCGGACCCACCA
rnacentral:tRNA from 2 species